UAUGACCCAGACUACAGGU
rnacentral:misc_RNA from 1 species